GAGUUUGAUCAUGGCUCAGAACGUACGCUGGCGGCACGCCUAACACAUGCAAGUCGAACGAAGUAGCAAUACUUAGUGGCAGACGGGUGAGUAACAUGUAGGUAUCUGCCCUUUGGCCUGGAAUAACACGAGGAAACUUGUGCUAAUACCGGAUAAGUCUUUACGGAGAAAGCUUUAUGCACCAUUGGAUGAGCCUGCACUUGAUUAGUUUGUUGGUGGGGUAAUGGCCUACCAAGACUGUGAUCAAUAGCUGAUUUGAGAGGAUGAUCAGCCACAUUGGGACUGAGACACGGCCCAAACUCCUACGGGAGGCAGCAGUGGGGAAUCUUGCACAAUGGAGGAAACUCUGAUGCAGCGAUGCCGCGUGAGUGAAGAAGGCCCUUGGGUUGUAAAGCUCUUUCGUCGGGGAAGAAAAUGACUGUACCCGAAUAAGAAGGUCCGGCUAACUUCGUGCCAGCAGCCGCGGUAAUACGAAGGGACCUAGCGUAGUUCGGAAUUACUGGGCUUAAAGAGUUCGUAGGUGGUUGAAAAAGUUAGUGGUGAAAUCCCAGAGCUUAACUCUGGAACUGCCAUUAAAACUUUUCAGCUAGAGUAUGAUAGAGGAAAGCAGAAUUUCUAGUGUAGAGGUGGAAUUCGUAGAUAUUAGAAAGAAUACCAAUUGCGAAGGCAGCUUUCUGGAUCAUUACUGACACUGAGGAACGAAAGCAUGGGUAGCGAAGAGGAUUAGAUACCCUCGUAGUCCAUGCCGUAAACGAUGUGUGUUAGACGUUGGAAAUUUAUUUUCAGUGUCGCAGGGAAACCGAUAAACACACCGCCUGGGAAGU
rnacentral:rRNA from 1 species